rnacentral:tRNA from 1 species
GCCUAGGGUAGCCUAGUGGACAUGGCAUCUGCCCGGUAAGCGGAACACUGUUAUUUCGAUUCCCAUCCCUAGACA